AAAGCGUUUGGGGCAGGUGAAGUUCCCUCCAUGCGCCUCAUAUCUUGACGCAGCGUCCCUCUGCAAAGGAAACAUACUUUUCUUGCUUUGGCUCUGUGUUAAUUCUGUUGCUCUUGGGUUUUUUUCUUCUAAGGUGCCUCCUCCUAGUAGGCAAGCAAAGAGGGAGGGAGACUACUCUGGAGUGAGCAUCUGAAUGGGGCAAGGGAGUCGGACACAAGGUGGCAUUUGGCUCGAAGUUGACUGCCCACGGGAUUAUAGAGGGCAGCAAAAGGAAGAUGCAAGAGGGAUGUCGUGGUUUAAACAUGCGCUGUGUUUUAACUUAGGAAAAGAAUCCUACGUUAUUUUGAAGGCGAUGUCCCUUAGGUUCCGUGGGAUUUGUUUCUGAGUGUCUGAAUGGGUGAAGCUACGUUCUUCCUCUCUUUCAAAUUUCCAUAUUCCUUGGGGAAAGUUAUCUUAUCAAGAAUUGUGUGAAAGGAACUAAAAAAAAUACGGUGUUCAGCCCUGGAGGACUAUCUUACCAGUCAAGUAGAGACAAUCCUAACAAAGAUGUUGUUAUCAUUGCAAGUUGGUUGCAGCUGCCCAGAAAUAAUGGUGACAGUUGGAGUGACCUGUUGAGUUGGAUAUGUAUUUUGUAUAAGAAAUUUUCUUAUUCAGUAGACCAUUACAAAACAGUGCCCUUUUUGUAUUUAAAUGUGUGUAUAAAUACAGUUAUAUUUAAGUUGGUAAUAGGGCAAGUCAGAAACAAAAGUGCUCUGAAUUAUCAAGAUUAUCAAGACCACUCUGACUGAAUUUUCACAAUGGCUACUUAAAUUUGCAGGUCUGUUCCAAAGGAAACUGCAUUAGAGGAGUUUGAUGGACACUUCCUUUCAAGUUGCCCCUCAAGUUGGAUUGUCCAUUGUUGAUCCUGGCUGAUUUUUGGAAGCUAGGCAGAAUCAGGCCUGGUUAGCAUUUGGAUGGGAGACAAACUGGAAAUAGCAGAUACUUUAAGCAAGGCUAAAAAAAUAAUCCCAGAAGAAGACAGUGCGGUGGGAAACCAUUUUCUGUAUUGUGAGAACAUUACAUGGAUUUGUAAUUACAUUACAUGUCACACUUGGCUUGAUGGUACCUUUGUUGUUGCAUGCAAUUGAGUUAGGUCCAAAUUCUGGUUGUUUACAUGAGUGCCUUCGUAAGUACCUUGAUGCAGUUCUCUCUGCAGAAAUACAGAAGUGAUUUGCCAUUGUC
rnacentral:lncRNA from 1 species